UUAAAGNAUUGGCGGGGNAGCCUGCANCGGNAGGAGCGUGCGNUUAAUUGGAUUCAACGCNGGAAACUCACCAGGCCGACUGUUAUAUGAAGACCAGCGUAAUGAGCUUGUCGGAUUUUCAGAGAGGUGGUGCAUGGCCGUCGUCAGUUCGUACUGUAAAGCGUUCUGUUAAGUCAGAUAACGAACGAGACCNUCAUCUCUAUUUGCAACCUGUCUCUCCGGAGGCGGCGCACUAUAGAGAGACCGCUGGUGUGAAACCAGAGGAAGGCGAGGGCAACGACAGGUCAGUAUGCCCCGAAUGUCCUGGGCUACACGCGCGCUACAAAGGACGGGACAAUGGGAAGCUAGGCCGAGAGGCCACGCUAACCCGAAACCCGUUCAUAGUUCGGAUUGAGGGCUGUAACUCGCCCUCAUGAAGCUGGAUUCCGUAGUAAUCGUGUUUCAAUAUAGCACGGUGAAUAUGCCCCUGCUCCUUGCACACACCGCCCGUCAAACCA
rnacentral:rRNA from 1 species